GGAUGUGCCCGCCUCGUGGCUUGUCCGAUUUGCACGGUGACUUGAUUACACGCUCGCAUUCAUGGUCACUUCCGAAGCGCUUUAGUGCCUUCCGUCCCUAAACCGCCGACAGCCGGGCGGCUUCCCCUCGUGGCUUGUCGAUGAUCCGCAGGGUCCGGAAGGGCCUUCGUCUCACCCGGGAUCCAC
rfam:Oryctolagus cuniculus cont2.35945, whole genome shotgun sequence.